rnacentral:rRNA from 1 species
AUUGAACGCUGGCGGCAUGCUUUACACAUGCAAGUCGAACGGUAACAGGCCUUCGGGUGCUGACGAGUGGCGCACGGGGGAGUAAUGCAUCGGAACGUACCCAGAGGUGGGGGAUAACGCAGCGAAAGCUGUGCUAAUACCGCAUGUGAUCUGAGGAUGAAAGCGGGGGACCGCGCAGCAAUGUUUGGCCUCGCGCCUUUGGAGCGGCCGAUGUCGGAUUAGCUAGUUGGUGGGGUAAAGGCCUACCAAGGCGACGAUCCGUAGCUGGUCUGAGAGGACGACCAGCCACACUGGGACUGAGACACGGCCCAGACUCCUACGGGAGGCAGCAGUGGGGAAUUUUGGACAAUGGGCGCAAGCCUGAUCCAGCAAUGCCGCGUGUGUGAAGAAGGCCUUCGGGUUGUAAAGCGCUUUUGGCAGGAAGGAAACGGUGUCCGCUAAUACCGGGCGGUAAUGACGUUACCUGCAGAAUAAGCACCGGCUAACUACGUG